rnacentral:lncRNA from 1 species
GAAAAAAAAAAAAAACAGAAACAUUACAAAACAAAAAGCACAUUUGUUUGAACUUGGCUGUUCAAAAUCUUUGAAAGAAUCCAAAUCAAAUGUCUGUUGGAUUAAAUUGACAUGUACCUUUCAGUCACAGACUGGCUCCCAGUAUGACUCUGUGGAUCUGUGUGAAUGUCACUGGAACAUCUUACAGGAAGGACAGAUAGUAACUAUUGAUUGUUCAUCUUUCCAACAGCACUGCGGGAUGGAAACACCGGUCUCAUUAAUGCAGAAAACCUCAUCCGUACAGGAAGUGAAGGAGGAAACAUUAUAGUUGGAUGCUCCUUCUCUUUCUCUGGAAGCAGGAAGAUCUUCUGUAAGAGAGAAUGUGAAGGAAAAUACAUUCUUAUUCAAACAGAUGAGGACAGAGCUCAGAAUGACAGAUACAGCAUUGAAUAUAAAGAAGGAACUUUUCCAGCAUCUAAAACAAUUCUGUAUGUGAGCAUCACAAACCUGACUAAGUCUGACUCGGGGCGGUACAGAUGUUGGUUGGACAGAAAAUGGUCACCAGAUUCAACCGAGGACUUUGAGCUCAGAGUUGAAGAUGCUCCAACCACUUCAAAACCAAAGUGGAAAACCACCACCAAAGCACCUUUUACACCAUCAGUCCCAUCAGCCUCCACACCGACACAGAGAGCUGCAGGUCCAGGUAUGUAUGCAAAUAUAUGUGUAUGCUUAUCUCUAUGGAAGUUAUAUUCAUUGUUGAUUAAAAUUAUUUUUGUCAUAUGGUAUUGAUUAAAUGAUUUCAAUAUUUUGACCAUUGGUACCCUCAGGUCCCACAUGCACCUGGAGAGCAGCUAUGUACGCUCCCUAAUAUAUUUUAUAAUGAAAGAGGAAGUGUAAAACAAACUUGUUCUAUGAAACAAACAACUACAGGUCCGCCGCUGUAUGUGCGUCUGACUCUGGUCGUCAUGAUAAUCGUAUUAUCAGCGUCUGUGCUGAUAUUCUGCAGGAAGAGGGGCAGUGAACCCAAAGGUGAGACUAUAGGAAUGCAAUGGAACAAAAACUCGUUGAAACCAACGUUCAAACGUGAAAACAAUAUUCUCAAAAAUCACAAACUUUAGUAUGUUUAACACAUCAUGUGUAAUCUGAGUAAUUUUAAGGUGGGGAAAAUGGGGAAAAUGUAAUUUUCUGCUGUUAUGAUUUUAGGAGGACCCUGGAUCAGGCUCUCUAUCAGAAAUUCAUUUUUGUGUUGCUAUGUUAUGUACUGUUGUGUAUAGUGUAUGUUGACAUAUGCAAGUGGCAAAGAUGAGUUUCCAUUGUAUGCAAAGUAAUCUGAAUCUGAGUAGAAAGGUUAGUGGCGUUAUUAUUUCACACCUAUCACACUGACAACAAAAAACUAAACACUGACCAAAGGUAUCAUGUCUGUCAGCUCGUGUUGAAAAGCUCAGUAAUCUAAUGGCUGCCUCAGUAUUCCAGAGGAUCUUGAAUGAAAUGAAGCUAUCGUCAGGACAUCUCGAACUGCAGACAAGGUCAAUUAUUAGUCUUUAUAUUAGGGAUUUUUAAUCCAUGGAAGAUUUAUGUUUGUAAAACUUUCCCACAGCCUAUAAAAGCACAUUUUGAAGUGCAAUGGAAAGUGCCAAGACCUAGAACAUAGAAGGUAGAAAACUUCCCUAUCUCAUGGGUUCGUUGAGCAAUUUAUACACUAAAUACAUAAGACAGGAUGACUGAACUUUUAAAGUAUUAUUUUUUGGGCCUUUUAUGCCUUUAUUUGAUAGAGAGAGAUAGACAGGAAAGGGGGGCAGAGAGAGGGGAUGACUGAACUUAUAGAGUUCUCUAGAUGUUGUAGGAACUCAAACAGGAAUGUGCGAAAGAGACUUUUUAGUAGUGUUACCAUCUCUUUUCGAUUAAAAGUAGCUAAAACCUGCUCCAAAAGUCACUAAUACUUUAACAACCUUAGCCUAAAUGGUUUUCUGUGUUUUAACAUUGGACUUAAUCUUCUGUACUGCAUGUUUUCAGAACCUCCUGUGGACACUAGUGUCACAGAGGUGAGUUUGAGUACAUUUGGGAUAUUUCAGUGUCAUUAGUGUUUGUGACAGCAGCUGAUAUUAAUACAAACAGACCCCUGUUCUCUUCCUGCAGGCCAACAGAGUGUAUGAGGAGAUCAGAGAGGAGGACAGACAGAGCAGAUCUCCUCCUGCAGAAAUAUCUACAGCUUACACUUACGCCAAAUACUCCAAACCAAAAUGUCAUGACAACCGAUUUGCCACUGGAGCAAGUUCUCAGAAGAACGUAAGUAAAAACUUUGGUCGGAUUUUAGGUUUUAGAAAAAAAACAUCCAUUAACACAACUUGACAAUGUUAUAACUUGGAUUUUUACAUGUUUCAUAAAAGCUGUUUCUCUUUCCCACAUCCAAUGACAGUGGAUGUAAAAUGCUUUUUAAGCUUUUUUAUUGUUCAGUUUUUUGUUUGGAUCUUUGUGAAAAUGUUUUGUUGCACAACAGAGGGAAUAUUUUGGGUCAAUAGAGAGAAAGCUGUCCUAAAAAAUAUGCUAUAUGUGUAUGAUAGAUAAUAACAUUUCAAAGAAAAAUGUUUCCCUUAAUUUUUUGUUUAAUGAGAACAAUAUCUAUUUAUUUUCAGUUUGUUCAUCAAGAGAGAAAAGUAACCAUAAAAUAAAAGCUUCCAGUUGCUAUCAAGACUAAAACAGUCAGUAAGUGAUAACCUUUGACCUCUGAUUGUUUUCUUCCAGACUGAAGACGACCCGAGUAAACUCACCUACUCUGAGGUGGAUUUCUCCAACGGUGCAGCUGCCUCGCUCCACAGCGCCCCCCGUGGUGAUGCAGAUAGAGCCUUAAUACAUUGAUUCAUACUUUUACAUCCAUUUUCCAGUCGACACUCUCCUUCCGUUUAAAUCAUUCCCUGUCUCAAUUUUGUCACAUCUUAUCUCAACCUUGCUUGAUUUUGAUCUGUCUCUGCCUUAGACGUUGUUGGUUUCUGUGGUUAAACAUUAUGUUCAGAGUCUGGUAUGAAAACAGAGACUUUCAAUCGGCAAUCAACUUUUGUUGUUUGUUUUAGUUUUAUAGUUAAAUCAUUGCAUUUUGUUGUAUUUAGACCGUCCCAGUCAGCAAAAAGAUUCAGUGUCAAUUUAUCUGCCUCCUUCUGCACUGACAGCGACGCCAGUUAGCAGUCAUAGAAAAAAGCUGCGAAACUGGUGAAUAAAAGAAAAGUGAAUGUCGAAAUGCAGAGAACCCGCCCAGUCUGUAGAUAAAAACAGUUCAAUCAAAUUUUUUUUACCAUAUCAUGCAGCCCUAUUAGACACUAAUGAAGACCUGUGAAUAUUAUAUUCCAUUUCUCUCAAGAGAUCCUCAUUCAUUUUACACACUAUAGCUUUAAAUCUUUAUAUUUUAUUAAAUUCAUUAAUUGUCUCGUUUUCAGUUUCAUUGUUUUUGCAUGUUUAUAUGUAAAUCACUUUGAGUUGCCUUUGUAUAUGACAUGUGCUGAACUGCCUUUCCCUAAUUCUCUUCUUUACUAUUAAAACUAAAAUCCUUUAUACUGUAAUCAACCUAUGCAAUAAUAAAUGUAUGAAGGAA